rnacentral:rRNA from 1 species
UACAGAGGGUGCAAGCGUUAAUCGGAAUUACUGGGCGUAAAGCGCGCGCAGGCGGUUUUUCAAGUCAGUGGUGAAAGCCCGGAGCUCAACUCCGGAACUGCCAUUGAAACUGUGAAACUUGAGGAUGAGAGAGGUGAGUGGAAUUCCCAGUGUAGAGGUGAAAUUCGUAGAUAUUGGGAAGAACACCGGUGGCGAAGGCGGCUCACUGGCUCAUUUCUGACGCUCAGGCGCGACAGCGUGGGGAUCAAACAGG